rnacentral:rRNA from 1 species
UACAGAGGUCUCAAGCGUUGUUCGGAUUCAUUGGGCGUAAAGGGUGCGUAGGCGGCGCGGUAAGUCGGGUGUGGAAAUCUUGGAGCUUAACUCCGAAACUGCAUUCGAUACUGCCGUGCUUGAGGACUGGAGAGGAGACUGGAAUUUACGGUGUAGCGGUGAAAUGCGUAGAUAUCGUAAGGAAGACCAGUGGCGAAGGCGGGUCUCUGGACAGUUCCUGACGCUGAGGCACGAAGGCCAGGGGAGCAAACGGG